rnacentral:rRNA from 1 species
UUAAAUUUAUACUUUAUUUUUGGUAAAUUACAAUUUUAGUAAAUAAAAAUUUAUAUAAUUUUAGGUAAAAUUUUAAUUAUUUAAUGAGUAAAGUUGUACUUUAAAGUUUUGGUAAUCAAAUUAGAUUAGUACCUAAGUAGUCAAAUUUAAA